GGGACCCGCCACCCUAUUAAUCACCAGGGUUGACUAGGCUGAUCUGGGUGACUAGGUGGGCGUCACAGCUCCCCAAAUGUUCCUCCCAAAGGAGAGUGCUCAAUGGAAGAGAACAGCACUUCUCAAUAAACGAGGGUGGCUUUGGGGGACAGGAUAUACAAGUAACUAUGCUUCCCAGAUACAGCUUACAAACGAGUUCUCAUGGUCCAAUAUUUAAAACUUUCAGCCAGAUAGGGCAGUGCACAGCUUUGAUCCCAGCACUCAGAAGGCAAAGGCAGGCGGAUCUCUGUGAG
rnacentral:snRNA from 1 species